GACAGAGGAGCCAAGCGUUGUCCGGAUUGACUGGGCGUAAAGCGCACGCAGGCGGUCGCGCGCGUGGGGUGUGAAAUCUGGCCGCUUAACGGCCAGGCGCCAUCCCAUACGGCGCGACUGGAGUGAUGCAGAGGUCGAUGGAAUUGCCGGUGUAGUGGUGAAAUGCGUAGAGAUCGGCAGGAACAUCAGUGGCGAAGGCGGCCAUCUGGGACAACACUGACGCUGAAGCACGAAAGCGUGGGGAGCAAACAGG
rnacentral:rRNA from 1 species